rnacentral:misc_RNA from 1 species
GUAGGUGAACCUGCGGAAGGAUCAUUAACACGUAUCCAAACGUAAAACCCCCCGUGAAUAUUGAUAGCUUGCUCUCCGUGUCUAGACGGUGAUAUUUCGUCGAGCAAAGUGGACCACCUCUCUUCCUGAGACAUGGACUAAGCCGAUUUUACGAAGGAUCACCGGGGCGACGGAUCAAAAUCAACGAGCGGUUCGCAAGUAAGGCUUGGUUGCCCCUAUUUCUAACGUCUGACAGGGGCGGAGGUGAUAG